rnacentral:rRNA from 1 species
UACAGAGGAGCCAAGCGUUGUCCGGAUUGACUGGGCGUAAAGCGCACGCAGGUGGUCAUGCAAGUGUCGUGUGAAAGCAGCUCGCUCAACGAGCUGAGGCCAUGGCAGACUGCACAACUGGAGGUCGUGAGAGGUCGGUGGAAUUGCCGGUGUAGUGGUGACAUGCGUAGAUAUCGGCAGGAACACCCAAGGGGAAGCCAGCCGACUGGCGCGAUACUGACACUGAGGUGCGAAAGCGUGGGGAGCGAACCGG